UGCCUCACCGAGUGUAGCCCCAGACUCUGAAAUUCAUGAGCAGCUUCCCCUCCUUUUCCUGUUUUUCACACAUUUUCUCCUUUCCUGUCACACUUCAGUGUUCCCUGUGCUUGAGAACAAAACUCUUGACAAAUGUCACUGCCAGUUACUACUAUAAGCAUUAGACAGCUGAGGUUAACCACCAACUUCUGUUUGCAUGCCACAAGCACCUAAAAGAUGAGCAGCAGCACUUUCAGGGACAAAAUGUUAAAAGCAAAGCCUUUCCGUGUCAGUGGCACAUCCCAGUCCUGUGAUCACCUAGGAGGUGGCUCAAAGCCUGCUCCAGACCACAGCACCCAUGGAGGUUUCCCAGUGGAAUUAAAGAGUAAGGAGAUCCGGGAGCACCAGACAUUGGUCAGAAGGAAGUCCCUGCCACUGGCAGUGAAUUGAUGGUCAUCAUGGGACUACACAAAGAAAAAAUGAUGACAAUACAAUGGGAAGAAGAGGAAGUCAGAAAGGGUUCUGAUAUUUUUAAAACCUGGUAAAAGCAAUACUGGAAUUCAGGUCAUUAACUUCAGCUGAAAACAGAGAGAAAAAUAGACUCCUGUCAUUAAGCCACAGAAUUUUGUAACAGGUGUAUGGUAAAGUGCAGAGUGUUGUUUUGGUUUUUUUUUU